rnacentral:rRNA from 1 species
CAGUUAUGGUUCAUUAGAUCGUGGACACAUUUACUUGGAUAACUGUGGUAAUUCUAGAGCUAAUACAUGCAAACAGAAUUCCUCUCAGAGAUGGGAGGAAUGCUUUUAUUAGAUCAAAACCAAUCGGUGGCGGACGGCUCGUCCGUUCGUCCAUCGUUUGUUUUGGUGACUCUGAAUAACUUUGUGCUGAUCGCAUGGUCAUCUAGCACCGGCGACGCAUCUUUCAAAUGUCUGCCUUAUCAACUGUCGAUGGUAGGUUCUGCGCCUACCAUGGUUGUAACGGGUAACGGGGAAUCAGGGUUCGAUUCCGGAGAGGGAGCCUGAGAAACAGCUACCACAUCCAAGGAAGGCAGCAGGCGCGCAAAUUACCCACUCCCGGCACGGGGAGGUAGUGACGAAAAAUAACGAUACGGGACUCAUCCGAGGCCCCGUAAUCGGAAUGAGUACACUUUAAAUCCUUUAACGAGGACCAAUUGGAGGGCAAGUCUGGUGCCAGCAGCCGCGGUAAUUCCAGCUCCAAUAGCGUAUAUUAAAGUUGUUGCGGUUAAAAAGCUCGUAGUUGAAUCUGUGUGUCACAGUGUCGGUUCACCGCUCGCGGUGUUUAACUGGCAUUAUGUGGUACGUCCUAUCGGUGGGCUUAGCUCCUUGCGGGCGGUCCAACUAAUAUCCCAUCGCGGUGCUCUUCACUGAGUGUCGAGGUGG